UACGGAGGGUGCAAGCGUUAUCCGGAAUUACUGGGCGUAAAGCGUGCGCAGGCGGUUAUGUAAGACAGAUGUGAAAUGCCCGGGCUUAACCUGGGAACUGCAUUUGUGACUGCAUGGCUAGAGUUUGGCAGAGGGGGGUAGAAUUCCACGUGUAGCAGUGAAAUGCGUAGAUAUGUGGAGGAACACCGAUGGCGAAGGCAGCCCCCUGGGUCAAGACUGACGCUCAUGCACGAAAGGCGUGGGGAGCAAACAGG
rnacentral:rRNA from 1 species